GGAGUUGUGAAGGAACGUUCUGUGCGCGUCACAAUAGACGGAGGGAGCUGCAACAACUUGGCUAGCAUGGAGAUGGUGGAGAAGCUUUCUCUCACCACAAGACCACAUCCACAUCCUUACUACAUCCAAUGGUUCAACAACAGCGGCAAGGUUAAGGUAACACGUACUGUUCGUGUGCAUUUUAGUAUCUCUACAUAUGCUGAUUAUGUUGAUUGUGAUGUGGUACCUAUGCAAGCAUGUUCCUUAUUACUUGGUAGACAAUGGCAAUUUGAUAAAAAUUCUGUACACCAUGGUAGAAACAAUCACUAUACUCUUGUUCAUAAGGAUAAAAAUAUUACUUUGCUUCCUAUGACUCCUGAUUCCAUUUUGAAAAGAUGA
rnacentral:rRNA from 1 species